UAGGGAAUCUUCGGCAAUGGACGGAAGUCUGACCGAGCAACGCCGCGUGAGUGAAGAAGGUUUUCGGAUCGUAAAGCUCUGUUGUUAGAGAAGAACGUUGGUAGGAGUGGAAAAUCUACCAAGUGACGGUAACUAACCAGAAAGGGACGGCUAACUACGUGCCAGCAGCCGCGGUAAUACGUAGGUCCCGAGCGUUGUCCGGAUUUAUUGGGCGUAAAGCGAGCGCAGGCGGUUCUUUAAGUCUGAAGUUAAAGGCAGUGGCUUAACCAUUGUACGGUUUGGAAACUGGAGGAAUUGAGUGCAAAAGGAGAGAGUGGAAUUCCAUGUGUAGCGGUAAAAUGCGUAGAUAUAUGGAGGAACACCGGUGGCGAAGGCGGCUCUCUGGUCUGUAACUGACGCUAAGGCUCGAGAGCAUGGGGAGCAAACAGG
rnacentral:rRNA from 1 species